rnacentral:lncRNA from 1 species
AGUGAAUGCUUAACAAACAAACAAGACAAAGAGACCUAGAGAGUUUAAUAAAAAGUCAAAGUGAACUUCACUGAGAUAAAACCAGAAAAAUAUAAUCACAAGUAUCUCCUAGUGCUUGUAGAUACUUUUUCAGGAAUAGAUAGAAGCUUUCCUCACCAAACGAGAGACGGCCUCUACAAUCAUCAAGAAGAUACUGGAAGAAAUCUUCCCCAGGUCUGGAAUGCCCAAGGUAAUCUGGUCAGACAACGGCCCUACUUUCGCCGCCAAGGUAAACCAGGGUGUGGCCAAGUAUUUAGAGGUCGAUUAGAAAUCACAUUGUAUUUACAGACCUCAAAGCUCAGGACAGGUAGAGUAAAUAAAUAGAACUCUAAAAGAGACCCUGACCAAAUUGACCAUGGAGACUGGCACAGACUGGGUGACACUCCUUCCCUCUUGCUCUCUUCAGAGCAAGAAAUACCCCUUCCAGACUCAGCUU